CACACACACACACACACACACACACACACACACACACACACACACACACACAGGUAAGACAACCCUCCAGGUCUUUACCAGAUUAUUAAAUUAUUCAGUGUGUCAGGAUCUGAACUACACACACACACCAUCCCUCCUCUCUCUCGUAGGUAAUGAUACUGGGUGUGUAUCCGAUCAGGGUGAUUCUCCGAACUGUAAUGUGACAAACGACCCAGCCAUGUGCACAGUCAUAGAGAUAGCGGAAGAAGGUGAAGGGGACUCAGAUGAGUCUCCUCCAGAGCCAUCAGAGUUCUCCCAGGCCAGCUUUGACAUGUCCAGUUUCAUAGGAGGCAUCAUCCUGGUGCUGUGUGUGCAGGCUGGGGGAUUCUUCGCCAUGCGCUUCCUCAAGAAAGAUACCACCUACGACCCCAUAGAGCAGCCAGCCUAGAGGAGAGGAGAGAGAGAAGAGGAGGACAGUGAAAGAUGAAGGAGGGAGGGAUGAGGGGGAGCUGUGACUCACCAUGCUGUCACGAUGCUUUGCAUGACGUCAAUCUACCAUACUCCAGUGUGUGUGUUAUACUUUUUUGUGUGUCCCAGAUGUGCACCUGUCGGUCAUUUUGUUUGUUUGACUGGCCCUCCAUUAUGUUGUGUAACUCCUGUUUAUGUGUGUGUGUGCCCAUGUGUGUGUGUGCCCAUGUGUGUGUGUGUCCGUGUGUGUGUGUGUCCAUG